UUUGUUAUUAUGUAAUUUUAUCUAAUUUGUAUCUAUAUAAGUAUCUACUUACGUUCAAACUUUAUGUGCAUAAUCGAGCUCAUCCGGAAGGCUCAAUUGCCAAAGAAAACCUGAUGGAAGAGUGUAUAAAUUUUUGUUAAAAAUAUUUAUAGGAUGAUGAAACUAGGUCAAAUCGAUCGAUUCGGAAUAAUGAUGGUGGAAAUAAUUUGGGUCAUCC
rnacentral:lncRNA from 1 species